AAAAAGCAACUGGCGUAUCCGCGCUCAAGGAAAAAAAAAGCAACUGGCGUGUCCCUUGUUCUCCUCAGAUCUGGCGCAUCCAAGGCUCGCCGGCGGUUAGGCCGGCUAACUUUCGACGUCGCUACUUUACUCACAUAUGGAGGAUGCUGCUCGCCGGCGUCCCAAGGUUCCGGUGCCCGAUGUAGUCGAUGUCACUACCUUCGGCAAAACGUCGGCUCCCUCCCGCACCGGCAAGCUAGGUGUUCAAGUCAUCGGCGACGGUGCAACCGUGAAUCCAUCCCCGCCCAAGGAAGGUGGAAGGCACCUGAUAUACGAGGAACUGAACGUUAGGGAAAUAUUCAAUGGAUGAUGUUUUGCAAGUGCAACGAAUACAUGUUCAUAUCAUUCAGUGUUGAAUCAAUACAAGGAUUCACAGGACAGAACUAAUUCAAUUGACAUGUUAUAACAUGUUUUUUCAGAGAAAUAAUGUGGAAGAGGAAUGUGUAAGGAAAGCUUUCAUAUUGUUGUAGAAGAAAUAUCCAUGGAAGCUGUGAAAGUUGGGAAUCUGGUGUACAAUUAGCUAUAGGGCUUUAGACUCAUUUCAACUGAGAAAUUGAAUCUUCUUAGAUCGAUUCAGCUUCCAGAUAGUUAGAAUUAGAAGUUUAUUUUUCAGUGACAUGCACAUUAUUGUAUAUUAAUGUACAGUUCAGCUGUAAA